UUCUCGGUUUUCGGUAUUGUUUUCGGCAUAUAUUUUCUCCGCAUUUCAUCUAAAAAGACUCUUUUUCCCUGUUCAACAAGUUAAAUGGAGAAGUGAUUUUUUGCUCUACAUAUGAUGCUGUGAAUGGCCUAAUUCACCUAUCGGGAGAUUAAUUUUUACCUCAGAUGAAUUUAAAACAUUAAACAUGAUGACUGUGAUGAAGAUGCUAUUGAAUUUGGGGAUGGCUUUUUUGCAAAUUACUGGAACAUUAAACUGUUAAUUUUACCAUGUUGACUUUGUUAUUCAUAGUUAAGAUAGUUAUUUAAAUGGAAAAUAAAUUUAUACAGACAUGCAUUGACUGAGCAGUUUGUUUUCAAUUUGCAGCAACUUUUAUAAUUUUCUGGACAGUUUUACCCUCCCCACCAUUCAAAGGAAUAUUAUCAUGGGGCUAAUCAGGAAUUGAAGGUUAAUAGAUUAUAGACUAAUAGAGGA